GACCCUUCUGAGGCAGAGAUGGAAACAAGGUAUGAUAUGUGACCCUUGUGAGGCAGGGAUGGAAACAAGGUAUGAUAUGUGACUCUUGUGAGGCAGGGAUGAAAACAAGGUAUGAUAUGUGACCCUUGUGAGGCAGAGAUGGAAACAAG